AACGAACGCUGGCGGCAUGCCUAACACAUGCAAGUCGAACGAGACCUUCGGGUCUAGUGGCGCACGGGUGCGUAACGCGUGGGAACCUGCCCUUAGGUUCGGAAUAACUCCCCGAAAGGGGUGCUAAUACCGGAUAAUGUCUUCGGACCAAAGAUUUAUCGCCUUUGGAUGGGCCCGCGUUGGUUUAGCUAGUUGGUAGGGUAAAAGCCUACCAAGGCGACGAUCCAUAGCUGGUCUGAGAGGAUGAUCAGCCACACUGGGACUGAGACACGGCCCAGACUCCUACGGGAGGCAGCAGUGGGGAAUAUAGGACAAUGGACGAAAGCCUGAUCAAGCAAUGCCGCGUGAGUGAUGAAGGCCUUAGGGUUGUAAAGCUCUUUUACCCGGGAUGAUAAUGACAGUACCGGGAGAAUAAGCUCCGGCUAACUCCGUG
rnacentral:rRNA from 1 species